rnacentral:lncRNA from 1 species
AUGAAAACAGAAUUCCACCAGGGUGUGGGAUGGGCGAUGGUAGACUUGGAGGCACUCUGAGCUCACUGGAUCAGGUAAACAGAAGUAGACAUCAAACCCAACACUGUUGCCGAGGUCAAAAGGUGCUUGCUAACAGGAACCUGGUGUGACUUUCCUUGGGAGGUCCGGCUAGCCACUGUCCAAUGCCGAUGUGGAUGCUUGGAGCCAACCAUCACACUGAGUUCAGGAAAU